rnacentral:lncRNA from 1 species
AUGAAUAAGACGAAGAAGAUCAAAUUUUGCUGAAUAGUCCCCCUCCGGUUCUCUCUCUCUCGCUCGAAACCCUCCCCAUACCUGCAGACCCGUCGACCCGACCCGGCCCCAGCGUCGCCGUCGCUGCUUCUCCGGCUACAACCCGGCCUCACCGGACUCGCCGUACUCCGUAGAGCCUCCCUCUGGUGUCGUCUUGCUCCGCCGCUGCUCCGAAAGCUGGAUCGAAGGAGCCACAGUUCCGUCGGCGACCCGACCGGAAAACCUAUUUUCCGGCAUCCCCUCGGCCGAUCCUUCCCAUUUUCGUGAUCUCCUCCUCCCCCUGAUCAUCCCCAUGAUCUGAUCGUGCGUCCGAGAUUUAAUCCAACUUCAAAGCUUGAUCUAGGACGAUCUAGGCCGAACCGGACUUAGCUCC